GUAGAAAUGUUUAUUUAAUAUUAUAUUCAAGAUAUUAAAAUGACAACAAUAGGAAAAUGUAUAAGAGAUUUGUUAAACACAUCCUGAAAGCAUGGAAAUAACCAUAUAUCUUAGCCUAAUGCAUGAAAUAGUAUAGCAAAUAUAAGCAGGAUGUUUUCAUUUUUAUUUUAAAAUUGUGUUUAUCACUGGAUAGGGAUAAUAAAUUUAUUCUAUUUAUUUUUUGCUGUUAAACAUAUACUUUAAUAAACUAAACACAUUUGUUUCUGCAGUGGAUGGAAAUAUGUUUGUCACAGGUAAAAUUGUCACUUGGGUAAAUUUUAUCUCAAGCAACUCCUUUUUAGUUUUAAUACUUUCUAUGUUGCCCAAAUCAAGUCUUAUUUCCAUGAAUCACUGUUUUAUGUAAUAAUUUUCUUGGUGAGGUCAAUUUACAUAGUUUUGGUACUUUCAUGUCAGAUUUCUAAGGUAGUAUAAUUUAGUUUAGAGGAAGAAUUUCUACACAGAUCAUGCAACUGUCUCUUCAUUAUAUAUCAGGGUAAAAUCUACAAAAAACAAAAUUGGUUUGAGAACAAAGCUGUCAUUACUUGCAAGAUGAAAACAGAAAAAUUGCAUGUGUUUAUUAAAACACAGAAGUAUAUUCCUGUGCAAAUUAAUGCAGAUUCUGAAGUGAAAGACAGGACUUUUGAGAGAUUUUGAGUCCAAGGAUUCACCUCUUCAAACACAACUGAAAAAACUCUUUUUUAUUUUUAAAUCUAAUCAGUUUAUAUAUGCCCAGGUCCAGCAAAAAGAAGCUGGGUUGAUAAUGUGUUUUGCAGUUAUUCAAGCUAGUUUGAAAGAGUACCUGGCAGUGAUUGUGAAGACCAAUGAUUGUGCUACUAAGGUCUCUCAAUUGCCAGACACCCACCAAGUAUUUUUUAAAUAUGCUAUUCUGUUUUGAAACUCAAAACCUUGUAUUUUUGUUAAUCUAGUUACCUGCCAAAUCAAACAGGAAUCCAAAGUUUCAUAACCCUGCUGUGUUCUCUGGUUACUAGAAAUAAGCAUAUUUUUGAUGUUUUAACAACCUUUUAAAAUAAUAAUUUCUAAUAAUGAAAUAGAAUAUUUCUAUUUUAAGUAGCUAUUGGGUAUAUCUUUACAUAACUAGAUGAUUAUAUUAAAUGGGUUUUUUAGAUGAAUGAUGUGCAUGGGU
rnacentral:lncRNA from 1 species